ACAAAAGCUAGCUAGCUAGCUCUAGGUGAUAGUGCGCGAGAUUAUAUGAGACAUGCCAAAUAGUUAGCUAACGUGGCGCGACCAGUUAGGAUUCCAAGUUCCAGUACUGGUAUAUACUUUUGAUCAGACACUCAGCCCCAGUAAAACACGUUGGUCAAUCAUAGUGCAACGUGGUGCAAGAUUAGAUAUGCUAUGGGAUAAUACUCAGAAUGGCAGGUAUAAUGGUAAAUUAGUUUGUUAGAUCGUCUUCUAAUUCAUCUCUUAUCGAUAGUAGUUUACAUCAAUUAUUAUAGGAUUAGUUUACAUCCAUGUUAUAAGGUUGGAAAAUGAUAUGCUGAUUGCUCGCUAUUGAUGUCUCAUAUGCUUACAAAAAAGCUAAUAGUGUCACUAACUAGAUAAUAUUUUACAUGGCUAACCAUACAGGAGCAACAUUAUGGAUCUUUUUGGCUGAUUUUUCUAUUCAGUUUUAAAAUAUUUUAUUUUCAGAUUAUCAGGAAGGUAUCUAUUCAAGUUUAGCUUAAUUUAAUGCAUCCAAUUUAUCUAAAAAAAAAAAGAAGGCUGAGAAUCAAAACCAUGAAUCUUGUAUAUAUGAGGAUAGGAAAUUAAAGCUGAUAGGUAGAAAUUAAUGAUAGGUGAUAAAGCUCUAGAACCGGAAGAUCGACAUGAGUAUACUAUGUUGUGGGCAUUUAUCUGAUGUACUUCGAACUCAUAAUUCUGAACAACUAUUACCUGCUUUUCUAAAUAAGUCAAUACUUAUAAUUUAUAUAUUCUUAGAUCAUUUGAUACAAAAUAAUCAUGAUCAUACAGACCAGUCAACAACACCAUCCCAAGCUAGUCAUUCAGGGGCUGUUUUCGAUGGUCUCUAGGCUUUCUGCUGGAUAUCUUCUUCGUCUGGCUUAACCUGUUAUCAGGAUACAUAGCCUAGAAAAAUCAUUAAUGAAGUAAAAUAUUUUUAAGAUAAACUAGUAUAUUAUCUUUUUCGCUUUUGUGAUGGGAUGAUAAGAGACUUUUUCGAUUACAUCGAAUUCUAUCCCUGCAGUCACGGUCCCCUCAGCGUUGCUUCAACGUACGCCAAGCUUAUCUUGUAAACAAGAUAGGCAUUGAUACAGACUCCCAAGACAACUCAACUUUCGAAAAUAUAUAUAUAUAAAGUCUACGUGGUCCCAAAUUAGUUUGUCCAGAUCCAAUAUAACCAUUCUUGAACACCUGCAACCGUGAGAAGUUUCAUGGCUAGCAAGCACUGCAACAGCUAGCUAGAGCUCCGCUUAGUAAUGAAUCAUUUUUCUUAAGUGUGAUAUACAUUGCCAUACCAAUUAUUUAUUUAAUUAUCUCAGUUAUCGUCUUUUUGGGAUUAAUUAGUUAAUCAACAUGGUAUAAGGUACAAGUUGGUUGCACAUUUUUUAAAUAAAAAUGUCAUGUUUGAAGAACUUAGUCUUACAGAAUGAAUAGGAGCUCAGCUCAGUUGACGCGUAGCUUGUAUAUAUAAACUUGGUUCAUGUAACAAGAAGCUAAGCCUGAUAUAUGGUAUAUAUAUUUGAAGUUUAGAAAUUAAGGCAAUUACCUCAAUACACCUAAAAGAAUGGAAAUUUUCUGCUGGAUUCCUGUCCUUUCUUUGCUGAGUGGACUUUGUUCUCAUCUUCUUUUAGAUUGCCCACUUGACAUAUGUGGGACUACUUCAAGAGGAAAUUGGGCAUCACAGAUAAACUUGAAUAUAUUUCAUCCUUUGGGACCUCAAGGGUUAGAGGUCCAUGUUCCAUCUACUCUCUAGACGAGUUGGAUCUUGCUAGCUAUAUGGUUGUGCGGUGGAGAAUUUGGUUAGUACGAAAUAAAAGAAUUUUUCAGAACAUGAUCAUGAAGAAUGAAUAUCAGCUAAUUAAUUUCCAGAGAAAUUGUCCAAUGCUGCUUCCAUCGGCAUUCUAAUCACUACCUCUUCUAAAGCUUCAAAAGCCGAUGCAUUUUAAAAAUUUAUACUUUUAUGCUUUUUCUUGUAGUCAUUUCUUAUCCCAUGAAAUCAACCAUGGGACAACCCAUGUUUAUUUCUCCUCAAAAGAAAAAAAUAAUAAUGAAUAUAGCUCAUCAAACUUAUUUUAAGCUGGAUCAUCCAUUUUAUAAAAUGAGUGGAUCGACCUUGGGCAACCUAUUAUCCAGCUUGGCUAAGCUUUUUUGCUCCCCUAAUGACAGCUAUAAAUAGCAUCAUUUCGAGCAUUAACAUUAAGCUGUUUUAGUACGUGUUGGGUAUAAAAUACUCCCAGUCGAAGUUUGUAAAAGGCCGACCCUACCAGAGCUCUUCCGGCUUCCGACUUUGUAUGGCAUCUUUUCGAACUCGCUCGAUCGUCCGAGCUUCCAUAAUACCAUCCAAACUUCUCCAAUAAUGAGCUCCCCCAUUCAUCUAUCGGACUGCUUCAAAUGCUCUUUGUGCUUCAUUAUCAACCGACUUUCUACAGUGAUUGGCUACCCUCUGAAUCUCUUCCAGACUUUCUCCUGCCACGAGCAACUUUACUCCGAACUUCUUUCGGACUUCAUCAAUAUCCGAGCUUCUCUAACGGUAGGGCUUCUACAGUAACCAGACUCCAUCCAAAUUUCUACGGUGGUCGACCGCCUUCCGGAUUUCAUCCGAAUUCCUACAAAAGUCGGAUCUCUAUCUCGAACUUCUAUUGCAGGUGGACUUCAUCCGAACUCCUACCAGGGCCGGGCUCCAUUCGAACUUCUACAGUGGGUGGAUUAUAGACGAGCUUCUACAACGAAUAGGCUCCACCAGCAGGAUCUCUACUCCGAACCUUUUCCGGACUUCAUCAAGGACCGAGCUUCUCCAGCAGCGGGACUUUUACAGUAAGCGAUCUAUUCCGAACUUCUAUGGCAACCGGUCUCCAUCCGGGCUUCUACGGUAAGCGGCCUCCUUCCGAACUCCUACAGGAAUCGGACUCCGUCCGAACUUCUACAGCGGUUGGAUUCCGGACGAACUUCUACAACGGACGUGCUCCAGCAGUCGGAUUUCUACAAUGACUGACUGUCUCUGGUGUCUUCCGUACCUCUCCGGCCAUCAACCUUCGAUAGCGCCAGUCGACCUUCCACAGAUCCAUCCGGUCUCCUCCAGCGGACGAACUUCCACAACGCCUUCCGAAUUACGCUGUCGGUCGACCCUCUAUCGAAUUUCUCAUGAAAUCGGACUUCUCCAAUAGAAAGUCCCCAUCCGAGCUUCUACAGCAGAUGACUUCCGCCUGCAGCAUCAGCGCCCAAGGUAUCCGACAACAGUGGAGUCGUCAGCAACCUCGAAAAUAUUCGAGCUUCUCCUGGAUUGCUGAAACAGAGAGCCAUUCUGCUCCAUCAGACGCCCCAGCCGAGCUUCAGCCAUCAGGUCCGAACUCUCUGGCAAGUCACGAUAAUGGCCGCUACUCUGCUCCACUCUCUGUAACAGAUUCUACGUGACUCCACUACUCUCUGGCAAAUCGUGACAACGGACACCACUCCACUCUCCAUAACAAACUUCACGUGGCCCUGAACGGCCCUCUAACGCCACUACUUUCCGUAACAAACUCCGCGUGGCUCCGAACGGCCCACUACUAGGCAGUUACGGGCGUCGCUGUCAAUCAGCUGCACUCUUCGUCUAUAAAAAGGGAUCCCAGAUACGUUCUUCUCUAAGCUCAAAACUCUAUCUCAAAACUCUACUAAAAUUUUCAUUCGAGCACUCCAUUUCUGUUGAGACAGAGUAUUGACUUGAGCAUCGGAGGAUUUUGCCGGAGCAAUCCCAACUCCGAUUUAGACUUUCCUUGCAGGUCCCGACAGCGGACGCGAUCCCUUCGACUUCAGCUUCUCUGGCAUCAUUAAAAUUCUACACCAACAGUAUAUAUUACUAUUAAUACCGAUCGUACUUGGAAACAGUGGGGAUGCCCAGCAUGCAAGGCGUUCAAGCACGUCUCAAUCGAAUGGGGGCCGUACGGGAGACGGCUUGAAAAGCCAUUGCAAAUUUUUCAAUCACCUCAUGGCCUCUGGAAUUUCUCAUCGUUUAGUUAGUUCUUUCAGCGGGCGUGGCCUGGAACGCAUCCAUCCAUCCCUUAUCUCUUUUAUCCAGACUAAUGUGGAGGUGCAAUAGCGGCUGUAUUAAUCUCAUCUUGCCAUUUCUCUAGACAAAGUCAAGAGACCCACCAAGUCAAGUGUCGUAAGUCAUCGGCACGUCAGAUUUUUGACUUGUAUUGCGAUAGCAACAAGGAGUGGAGAGCCGUGAGGAGAAGAAACGCACAGAUGGAUAAGUAUGCGUGCCACGAUGGCAAAGGCAAAAUGUCGAAAAGCGCAAGUGGGUGCAUUUACAACAUAUGGAUAACGAGAGACACCUAUUUUUCCCUGGCUCUGUAAGUCGGCAAAUCAAAUGAUUUCCAUGUGUGGGCACCAAACAUGCCCCCUUGGAGUAGUGCCAUAGAACCACGAUCUUCCAUGUAGGCCAUGUCGUAGAAUAUUAUUUAUUUUUGAAUGACUGCUAUCAAAAUAUGAACGGCUAUU
rnacentral:lncRNA from 1 species